UUUGAUACUGAUUCCCUCUCUAUAAUUAUCGCGGAAACCCUAGAACGCGUUCUCAUGUGCCUUUGAGAGAACCGGGCGACCCAGCUCACCAAUGUCGUCUGAGUUCCGUUGCGGGCAUAAAGAAAACGCAACUCCUUUCUUCAUCUUUGCAAUCUGAAUCCUCUGUUUCUGCUUUGCAAUGACAGAAAGGUUCCGUACAUUCUACUCUUCUCCCUUCUCAUCCCUUUUUGUGAUUAAACAUUUAUAAACAUGUCUCCGGCCGUUCCAAUGGGUUCUCAGCUGCACAAUCUGUGUGUGAGGGCUCAAUUUCACCCGGCCAAUAUCUGAUUUUGGGGCGGCCUCAAGGAAUACUUUGCUUUGCAGUCCGUACGAAGAUGUCAUCCGGAGCAGGACUGGAAUGUCUAUUCAAAUUGUACUGCUGAUCUAGCCAAAAAGGAAUCACUCUUCUUCACCUUUUCUUUAUGAGGUGGAGGAUGAUGAGGGAUAGGUUAUUGUUUAGUUUUUGUUUUGAUCCGUUUUUAGUUCAAGUUUUUCUGCUUUUGUUCUGUAUAACCUCUGUACUGACUUGAUUGGAUUGUUAAGCAUUUAUACAUUUCAGUUUGCAAUUAAAAAAAAAAAGAUGAAUGGGCAAUUGCGUGCA